rnacentral:rRNA from 1 species
GAUGAACGCUGGCGGCGUGCCUAAUACAUGCAAGUCGAGCGAACAGACGAGGAGCUUGCUCCUCUGACGUUAGCGGCGGACGGGUGAGUAACACGUGGAUAACCUACCUAUAAGACUGGGAUAACUUCGGGAAACCGGAGCUAAUACCGGAUAAUAUAUUGAACCGCAUGGUUCAAUAGUGAAAGACGGUUUUGCUGUCACUUAUAGAUGGAUCCGCGCCGCAUUAGCUAGUUGGUAAGGUAACGGCUUACCAAGGCGACGAUGCGUAGCCGACCUGAGAGGGUGAUCGGCCACACUGGAGCUGAGACACGGUCCAGACUCCUACGGGAGGCAGCAGUAGGGAAUCUUCCGCAAUGGGCGAAAGCCUGACGGAGCAACGCCGCGUGAGUGAUGAAGGUCUUCGGAUCGUAAAACCCUGUUAUUAGGGAAGAACAAAUGUGUAAGUAACUAUGCACGUCUUGACGGUACCUAAUCAGAAAGCCACGGCUAACUACGUG